GUCCUUGUGGCACGAUGGCUAAGUGUUCAACUGCUAACUGAAAGGUUGGUGGUUCAAACCCACCCAGUGGUU
rnacentral:tRNA from 1 species